rnacentral:tRNA from 1 species
GGUGUAGCUCAGUUGGUAGAGUGCUUGCCUAGAAAGCAUAAGGUCCUGGGUUCAACCCCAGCACC